AAAAAAAGAAUGUUAUGUUCAUGUUUAAUAAUUACUACUGAUGAUAUAAUAUGUAAAGAUAAUAGACUUUUUGAUCAAAAAGCAUAUGCACCUUAUGUAGUUUUUAUACGGUUAAGAUGCAUCAAUAGCUUUUUAGCAGUUUAACUAUUGUAAAUAUUUAACACAAUAUACAUAGGGAUAUAUGCAACUAUACGUUCAACAACGG
rnacentral:lncRNA from 1 species